rnacentral:tRNA from 1 species
AGCAGGGUCAGGCUAACAAAAGCUAUCGGGGCCUAUACCCCGAAAAAUGAAUGGGUUCAACUCCCUCCUCUGCUA